ACCACCACCCGCAAUGGCUGACACGCGUUCUGGACGUUGUCAUGGUCCUGCAAGAGCGUCCUUCGGCUUCCCCACUUUGGAAUCAGAAAACUAUUCGGUGGAAAGCAUUUGCUUUAUCUGUGAACUUCCCGCCUAAAACUGCUUGAACGUAAAAUGGGUUUUAAAGCAUGGUCAACGUACAUGUAUAAGCUCAUGAGUGAAUGGUUGCUCAGUUCUUCAUACAAGAGUUAUUAUUCCUGAGGUUCAGGUCAAUCUCCUCAUAAAUCAUCAUUGUCAUUGGCUGGAAUGGUGGAUUGAGAUCUUCUACCACCCUUGUGUUUCAUGUUACUGUCAACUGUACAAGGCCGGCCCAGCAGACUAUUGAAGACGCCCAACAUAAGCACUGUAGCAGGGAAUGUGUUGAAAAUUUACGAGGUUAAACGGAAACCCAUGUUGGUAACAGUCCUUUGACAUUCUCAGCACACAACAUGACAAAUCAGCAGUUCGACCGUUGUAGAUUUCCUAGGGAUAGUAGAGGUAUGUUGAGGAUUGUGAAAAAAGAAAAUUUUGGUACACAAGUGUAGAACUAGUGUUAUAAAACGUUUGGGGGAAAAGUUGCUGGAACUAUUUUCUCGCCCCGCCAUUUUGAGGGAAAAAUGGCCGAACUCUUGCCGUCAACCAAUAAAUUUUGAGGAGAGCAGGCUGAUUAGAGGAAGGAUUUGGAGUCGCUCAUUUCAGUGGUCAGCGGGUGUAAGUUAGAACUAAGGUAAAGAACAUUGUUGAAGAAGAAAGCACGGAUAUCUAAAUCUAGCUCGUAUAUGGUUGUCAUUUACUGUGGGGUGAGAUGGAUCAUGUUGCCAAUUGAAAUGUUGUCAAUGUUGCUGUUGCAUUGGACAAACGGGUGUGUUUAACAAAUGGAUGUGAAAGUUACACAAGCCAUAAUGGUAUUCAUGUAAAAGACUUAACAGCCAUGAAGAUGACAACUCAAAUAAACCUGUUGGACUGAAGGUGGUUGGUGAAGAAAAAAGGUCUUGUUCCAUUUCCAUACCAUCUUCUAAAAAAAACGAUUAAACAAAAGCACGUACGUCUAUUUUCUUUCAACGGCCGUCCUAGCAGGUCUGUUGUUGAGUUCAACGUCGUGAAAUUCAUCUUUGUCGGAUGCCCGUCAGCAGUACUGAGCUGCUCCUUUUUAAAAUGUUUUGUUGCAUUCAUUGCCCAUAGGUGCAAUUACCACGUACAUGAAGCUUUCUGCCAAACGCGAUCGUCCAUACUUCCUGUAAAUGGAGGCUACUAGUGCGUGGGUUGACUGAGUAUAUAGCACGUAGUGGCAUUUAGGCAAGUCCUGAAAAAAUAUGGGUUGCUCUGGUUAACGCUCGAAUGAUUUAAGAAAAGUAAUGGAUGGUGAGUGAAUGUGGCGACGCAGUUGUUCGCUGUAAAUUUCCAUGAACAUAUAUAUAUAUAUCUAUAUAUGUAUAUAAAGUAUAUUAAAUGGUUUGGUUUUCAUCGUCUUUUUAAAAUGGCAGCACCUGCUGUGUGUUAUUUCUAACAAGGUUACGACAUAUUUCCACAUAGCUUGCCAUUUACGCAGUUAUUUGUUAAACAAGAGUUGAAACAGAAAUUUUGAAAAGUAGAAAGUGAAAGAAUUUUAAGAAAGUGGAACAGUAUAUUGUUUUAUGGUAGCUGUUAUGUUUAUUGCAGCAAGCUCGCAAUGCAAGGGCAACCAAAACUUGGCAUUGACAGCUUACAGAUUAAAAAAAAAUAACAAAUUAAUGAAUUCUUGAUCUAAACAAUACAAUUAAUAUUUAUUUCA